rnacentral:lncRNA from 1 species
UUUCCUCGUCCCACACACAACGUCGUUAACAACGCUGAUCACGAAGUGGCUUGGUAGGCGUGGAGAAGUGAGGGUUUUAAGGCAAAAUUUUGCAAAGGUGCAAAAUUUGCAAACCACAUUUUUUUUUAACUUUUGAAAAGGGAGGUUCAACCCAGUUGAGUCUCUGUUCCGUGGCCGUUGGUGAAUCGCCUCCUGAAAUUCGGGGCGUGGAGUUGGAUCCGGAUAUGAUGACAGUGGGUGUAUUGUGGUUUUGGAUACUCCGAUAGGUUACCCGCUCCAACGUCAAGUUGUACACAAACCCUAGCAUUGGGCUGAAUUUGGUACUAAUUAAUGUUGAGAUAUUUGGAGUGAAAAAGAAAGAAGGCAAGAGAUGAGUGUGCUCUGUUUAGCCGGAAAUGUGAUCCAUAGAAUAAUCAAAAUUAGACAUUCUAAAUUAACUUACGUUUGCUGAUCGAUCACACUCCUUCCUUUGCUUGCUUGCAGCGAUGGGUUUUGCCAGAUUCUCAUCUUUCUCUUAGUGAUUAUGGAGUUACUCCCAUUGAGGCCUGUAACUAGAUCUUCCAUGUGGAGAUAAUCUUUGAGGUACUUAGAGGUGAAGAUGUUUUGAAGCGAGGUUGGCUACUUUCAAUCUUGAGGACGAAGCAUAGAGCUUGUGGGAAGCUUUGAAGCACUCUAGAGGGGGUUAUGCUUAUGCUGCAACUCUCCCUUGUGCUGAUUUCCGUAACAUAUGAACCAUCUUUGGGUACCAUUCGAAUACGUUGCACAUUUGUACCAGUUGGGGACUAGGGAAUGAACAGACCGAUGAAAAUUGUAGGCAAACACGGGCAUGACAACUGGACAAAGACAGUUUUGUUCAACUGUUCUCGAGUUUUUCUCGGAGGGGACGUGAGCGAAAAGGAUGGAAAGCUAUCAACUUUGCAGUUAUGCGCUUCUAAUCCACACUUUUUUUUACUUUUACUUUUUUA